AGGAUAAAGUCCUCAAGACUGAUUUUUCACAGCUGAAACCGGUCUACCUUGAAUAGUGGCUGUUCGAGAGAGGCCGAGACUAAAAACUCCUGGAAGAAAAGAGAAGAAUGAAAUAGCAUCACCAGCAUGUGGAUGAAUGUCAAGUAGCGGAAGAGGCUGGACCACGUAGCAAAGAUGACUUUCUUGCCCAUGCUGUGCCUGAUGAUGGAUGGAAGACCUCCGAAGCUCUAGUCCUUGAAUUUCCCUUCUCUGACCCCUGGAGAAAGCCACUGUGUUAAACACUGGUCCAGCUUGGCCUAAUCUUUAUCUCUGGGGGCUCCUCCCCUCUAUUCACCAUUGCUACCACAGGGUCAGUCUGGCGGGGAAAGGGAAUGGGGUGGGGAAAGGUGGGGCCUGGAUAAACCUUGGUUAUAAUGUUUAUCUAGCAGACAGAAAAACCAUGAUGCCUUCAGAUCCUUCUCCUUGGUGUGAACAGUAGGACCCCGAUAUUGGUCAAGUCCACCAGGGGCAGUGUGUUGCUGUGGACUUUGUGGUUCUAGACAG